rnacentral:rRNA from 1 species
ACAACGGAAAGUUUGAUCCUGGCUCAGGAUGAACGCUGGCGGCGUGCUUAACACAUGCAAGUCGAACGAGCCUUCGGGCUAGUGGCGGACGGGUGAGUAACGCGUGGGAAUCUGCCCUCAGGAGGGGGAUAACGGCCGGAAACGGCCGCUAAUACCCCAUAUGCCGAGAGGUGAAAUGAAUUUCGCCUGAGGAUGAGCCCGCGUCUGAUUAGCUAGUUGGUGGGGUAAUGGCCCACCAAGGCGACGAUCAGUAGCUGGUCUGAGAGGAUGAUCAGCCACACUGGGACUGAGACACGGCCCAGACUCCUACGGGAGGCAGCAGUGGGGAAUUUUCCGCAAUGGGCGAAAGCCUGACGGAGCAACGCCGCGUGAGGGAUGAAGGCCUCUGGGCUGUAAACCUCUUUUCUCAAGGAAGAAGACAUGACGGUACUUGAGGAAUAAGCCACGGCUAAUUCCGUGCCAGCAGCCGCGGUAAUACGGGAGUGGCAAGCGUUAUCCGGAAUUAUUGGGCGUAAAGCGUCCGCAGGCGGCCUUGUAAGUCUGUCGUUAAAGCGUGGAGCUUAACUCCAUUUCAGCGAUGGAAACUACAAGGCUUGAGUGUGGUAGGGGCAGAGGGAAUUCCCGGUGUAGCGGUGAAAUGCGUAGAUAUCGGGAAGAACACCAGUGGCGAAGGCGCUCUGCUGGGCCAUAACUGACGCUCAUGGACGAAAGCCAGGGGAGCGAAAGGGAUUAGAUACCCCUGUAGUCCUGGCCGUAAACGAUGAACACUAGGUGUCGGGGGAAUCGACCCCCUCGGUGUCGUAGCUAACGCGUUAAGUGUUCCGCCUGGGGAGUACGCACGCAAGUGUGAAACUCAAAGGAAUUGACGGGGGCCCGCACAAGCGGUGGAGUAUGUGGUUUAAUUCGAUGCAACGCGAAGAACCUUACCAGGGUUUGACAUCCUGCGAAUCCCUUGGAAACGAGGGAGUGCCUUCGGGAGCGCAGAGACAGGUGGUGCAUGGCUGUCGUCAGCUCGUGUCGUGAGAUGUUGGGUUAAGUCCCGCAACGAGCGCAACCCACGUCUUUAGUUGCCAGCAUUCAGUUGGGCACUCUAGAGAGACCGCCGGUGAUAAACCGGAGGAAGGUGUGGAUGACGUCAAGUCAUCAUGCCCCUUACAUCCUGGGCUACACACGUACUACAAUGCUACGGACAAAGGGUUGCAAGCUCGCGAGAGUUAGCUAAUCCCAUAAACCGUGGCUCAGUUCAGAUCGUAGGCUGCAACUCGCCUACGUGAAGGAGGAAUCGCUAGUAAUCGCAGGUCAGCAUACUGCGGUGAAUACGUUCCCGGGCCUUGUACACACCGCCCGUCACACCAUGGAAGUUGGCCAUGCCCGAAGUCGUUACUCCAACCCUUGUGGAGGAGGACGCCGAAGGUGGGGCUGAUGACUGGGGUGAAGUCGUAACAAGGUAGCCGUACCGGAAGGUGCGGCUGGAUCACCUCCUAA